AUUGAACGCUGGCGGCAUGCCUUACACAUGCAAGUCGAACGGCAGCACGGGAGCAAUCCUGGUGGCGAGUGGCGAACGGGUGAGUAAAGUAUCGGAACGUGCCCAGUCGUGGGGGAUAACGUAGCGAAAGUUACGCUAAUACCGCAUACGAUCUACGGAUGAAAGCGGGGGAUCGCAAGACCUCGCGCGAUUGGAGCGGCUGAUAUCAGAUUAGGUAGUUGGUGGGGGAAAGGCUCACCAAGCCGACGAUCGGUAGCUGGUCUGAGAGGACGACCAGCCACACUGGGACUGAGACACGGCCCAGACUCCUACGGGAGGCAGCAGUGGGGAAUUUUGGACAAUGGGCGCAAGCCUGAUCCAGCCAUGCCGCGUGCAGGAUGAAGGCCUUCGGGUUGUAAACUGCUUUUGUACGGAACGAAAAGGUUUGGCCUAAUAAGCUGGACCCAUGACGGUACCAUAAGAAUAAGCACCGGCUAACUACGUGCCAGCAGCCGCAGUAA
rnacentral:rRNA from 1 species